AAUAGAUACCCCGGUAGUCCACGCCGUAAACGAUGUCGACUUGGAGGUUGUGCCCUUGAGGCGUGGCUUCCGGAGCUAACGCGUUAAGUCGACCGCCUGGGGAGUACGGCCGCAAGGUUAAAACUCAAAUGAAUUGACGGGGGCCCGCACAAGCGGUGGAGCAUGUGGUUUAAUUCGAUGCAACGCGAAGAACCUUACCUGGUCUUGACAUCCACGGAAGUUUUCAGAGAUGAGAAUGUGCCUUCGGGAACCGUGAGACAGGUGCUGCAUGGCUGUCGUCAGCUCGUGUUGUGAAAUGUUGGGUUAAGUCCCGCAACGAGCGCAACCCUUAUCCUUUGUUGCCAGCGGUUAGGCCGGGAACUCAAAGGAGACUGCCAGUGAUAAACUGGAGGAAGGUGGGGAUGACGUCAAGUCAUCAUGGCCCUUACGACCAGGGCUACACACGUGCUACAAUGGCGCAUACAAAGAGAAGCGACCCCGCGAGGGCAAGCGGACCCCAUAAGGUGCGUCGUAGUCCGGAUUGGAGUCUGCAACUCGACU
rnacentral:rRNA from 1 species